rnacentral:lncRNA from 1 species
AUGUCACCUGCAUUGUCAAAUAAGAAGAAAAAAAUGGUGUUAUUAAAAGGUGACAAAUUAAAUAUUGUGUAUAAAAUAAAAGGUAAAUUAAGUUUUUGGUCCCUAUAAAUAUCUGCAGUUUUGUUUUUAGUUUCUAUAGAAAUAAAUCACAUUUUUUAGUCCUUACAAAAUUUUCCGUUAGUGUUUUUAGUCCCUGUUAAAUUAAAAUUUGUUUAAUUAUGCUUAAAAUUUUAAAUUUUUUAAUAAUUUUUUACAUACUUGUUUAAAACAUUAUAAAACGUUCCGCCACAAUAAAUUAGCUCAAAAUUUUAUUUUUAGGUCCAAAUUUUCGUUAGUUUUAUCUUGAAAUUUUGGCGUUUUAAAAAAAUUAUAUUUAAUUCAUUACAUGUUAAAAAAUUCUAAUUUUUUAUAAAAGAGAUUAUUAUAAUGUUCUUAACAUGUCUGUUAAAAAUCAUUUAAAAAUAUAAAAGUUUAAGUAUA